rnacentral:misc_RNA from 1 species
CAAAAACAACAUGAUCUCAUGAAAUCAACAAGAAAAAUUUACGGUUGAGAGGUGCUUUACAAACCACACUAUGUGCUUGUCUGCUAAAGGUAAAAUAAAAAGAUACAACAUAUAGGUACAACAUCAAACAUUUUUGUCUUUCAUAUUUUGUUUCCCCAACAAUAUAACACAAGUUUACAAGACAAAAGGGGACUUUGAGCAAUGCCUCAGUCUCCAGCACCAAUCCAAAAGAAGUUGUGGGGUUUCAUUAU